rnacentral:rRNA from 1 species
GGAUUAGUGGCGAACGGGUGAGUAAUACGUGAGUAACCUGCCCUUGACUCUGGGAUAAGCCUGGGAAACUGGGUCUAAUACUGGAUACUACCUCUUACCGCAUGGUGGGUGGUGGAAAGGGUUUUACUGGUUUUGGAUGGGCUCACGGCCUAUCAGCUUGUUGGUGGGGUAAUGGCUCACCAAGGCGACGACGGGUAGCCGGCCUGAGAGGGUGACCGGCCACACUGGGACUGAGACACGGCCCAGACUCCUACGGGAGGCAGCAGUGGGGAAUAUUGCACAAUGGGCGGAAGCCUGAUGCAGCGACGCCGCGUGAGGGAUGACGGCCUUCGGGUUGUAAACCUCUUUCAGUAGGGAAGAAGCGAGAGUGACGGUACCUGCAGAAGAAGCGCCGGCUAACUACGUGCCAGCAGCCGCGGUAAUACGUAGGGCGCAAGCGUUGUCCGGAAUUAUUGGGCGUAAAGAGCUCGUAGGCGGUUUGUCGCGUCUGCUGUGAAAGCCCGGGGCUCAACCCCGGGUCUGCAGUGGGUACGGGCAGACUAGAGUGCAGUAGGGGAGACUGGAAUUCCUGGUGUAGCGGUGAAAUGCGCAGAUAUCAGGAGGAACACCGAUGGCGAAGGCAGGUCUCUGGGCUGUUACUGACGCUGAGGAGCGAAAGCAUGGGGAGCGAACAGGAUUAGAUACCCUGGUAGUCCAUGCCGUAAACGUUGGGCACUAGGUGUGGGGGACAUUCCAC